rnacentral:rRNA from 1 species
GAUAUAAUUAUUAAAGGGCUGCAGUAUAUUGACUGUACAAAGGUAGCAUAAUCAUUAGUCUUUUAAUUGAAGACUUGUAUGAAAGAUUUGAUGAAAUAUAAACUGUCUCUAAUUUAUUAAAUAAAAUUUAAUUUUUUAGUUAAAAAGCUAAAAUAAAAUUAAAAGACGAGAAGACCCUAUAGAGUUUUAUAAUUGAAUUAUUUAAUAUUAAAUAUAUAAAUAUUAAAUUAAAAUUAAUUUAAUUAUUUUAUUGGGGUGAUAGAAAAAUUAAAAAAACUUUUUUUAAAUAAUAAACAUAAAUAAGUGAAUAAAUGAUCCAUUAAAUAAUGAUUAUAAGAAAAAAUUACCUUAGGGAUAACAGCGUAAUAUUUUUUUUUAGUACAAAUAAAAAAAAAAGUUUGCGACCUCGAUGUUGGAUUAAGAUAAAAUUUAAAUGCAAAAGUUUAAAAUUUUGAUCUGUUCGAUCAUUAAAAUCUUACAUGAUCUGAGGUCA